GCGUCGACAGCGCAACUGGUUAGUGCGCACCCCCAAAGAAGGUGAAACGCGGGUUCAAUUCCCGUCUGAGGUU